GGGGGUGUAGCUCAGUGGUAGAGUGCAUGCUUUGCAUGCAUGAAGCCCUGGGUUCGAUGCCCAGCACCUCCA